rnacentral:rRNA from 1 species
AAGUCGUACGGAGAGUGGGGCAACUCACUCUCAGUGGCAAACGGGUGAGUAACGCGUGAAUAACCUGCCUUUGAGAAGGGGAUAACUGUCCGAAAGGAUAGCUAAUACCCUAUAUUGCCUUUUGUCACUAAGGCAAAAAGUGAAAGCGAGGCUGUCAAAGGCUUCGACUCAAAGAGGGGUUCGCGUCCUAUCAGGUAGUUGGUGGGGUAAUGGCCUACCAAGCCAAUGACGGGUAGCUGGUCUUAGAGGAUGAUCAGCCACAGUGGGACUGAGACACGGCCCGCACCCCUACGGGGGGCAGCAGUGGGGAAUCGUGGGCAAUGGGCGCAAGCCUGACCCCGCAAUGCCGCGUGAGGGAAGAAGCCCUUCGGGGUGUAAACCUCUGUCAGAUGGGAAGAU